UACGUAGGGGGCAAGCGUUGUCCGGAUUUAUUGGGCGUAAAGAGCGUGUAGGCGGCCAGGUAGGUCUGUUGUGAAAACUCGAGGCUCAACCUCGAGACGCCGAUGGAAACCAUCUGGCUAGAGUCCGGAAGAGGAGAGUGGAAUUCCCGGUGUAGCGGUGAAAUGCGUAGAGAUCAGGAGGAAUACCGGUGGCGAAAGCGACUCUCUGGACGGCAACUGACGCUGAGGCACGAAAGCGUGGGGAGCAAACAGG
rnacentral:rRNA from 1 species